rnacentral:rRNA from 1 species
CCUACGGGAGGCAGCAGUGGGGGAUAUUGCACAAUGGAGGAAACUCUGAUGCAGCGACGCCGCGUGAGGGAAGACGGUCUUCGGAUUGUAAACCUCUGUCUUUGGGGAAGAAAAUGACGGUACACAAAGAGGAAGCUCCGGCUAACUACGUGCCAGCAGCCGCGGUAACACGGGGGGAGCGAGCGUUGUACGGAAUUACUGGGUGUAAGGGGAGCGUAGGCGGGGGAGAAAGUUGAAUGUUAAAUCUACCGGCGAAACUGGUAGCUGCGUUCAAAACUUCUUGUCGUGAGUGAAGUAGAGGCAGGCGGAAUUCCUAGUGUAGCGGUGAAAUGUGUAGAUAUUAGGAGGAACACCAGUGGCGAAGGCGGCCUGCUGGGCUUUAACUGACGCUGAGGCUCGAAAGCGUGGGGAGCAAACAGGAUUAGAUACCCUUGUAGUC